AGCAGCCGCGGUAAUUCCAGCUCCAAUAGCGUAUAUUAAAGUUGUUGCAGUUAAAAAGCUCGUAGUUGAAUUUCGGGGUCAGUAGGUCGGUCGUGCCACUGGUAUGCACUGGUCUCACUGAUUCCUCCUUCUUGUAGAACCGUAAUGCCAUUAAGUUGGUGUUGCGGGGAAACAGGACUGUUACUUUGAAAAAAUUAGAGUGUUUAAAGCAAGCUAACGCUUGAAUACAUUAGCAUGGAAUAAUGAAAUAGGACGAACGAUCCUAUUUUGUUGGUUUCUAGGAUUGACGUAAUGAUUAAUAGGGAUAGUUGGGGGCAUUAGUAUUCAAUUGUCAGAGGUGAAAUUCUUGGAUUUUAUUGAAGACUAAACUACUGCGAAAGCAUUUGCCAAGGAUGUUUUCAUUAAUCAAGAACGAAAGUUAGGGGAUCGAAGACGAUCAGAUACCGUCGUAGUCUUAACCAUAAACUAUAGCCGACUAGGGAUCGGAUGAUGUUAAUUUUAUAAUGACUCAUUCGGCGCC
rnacentral:rRNA from 1 species